rnacentral:lncRNA from 1 species
GAACAAUCAUAGAAUAAAAAAAUAAAAUUAAACAUAAAUUGUAGAAUUGAAACCUUCCUGGUUACCUGGCUCAAAAUCGUAUUAAGAUAAGUUCCACUAGACAAUUGAACAGACCACCUUCCACAACCAAAAUUGAUGAUAUCUUUUUCCCCAUGGAACAAUGAGAAUAAUAUAAAACAAAAAAUCAAAGAUGUAAACUUACUGAUAUGAUUCUUUAAUUUAAGCUUUUGAUUUGGGGAAAAAAAAAACACCACAAACACCUAAAUUCUCAAUUUUGAUCGAUGAAUCUCAUUGUUACAUCUUAAGGUUUUAUAUAAGCAAAUAGCUAAUUACUAAUCCUAAUCUAAAUAGAAUUUAAUAGAAUUCAUACAAUUAGUAUACUAUAAUCGAAACAAAUAAGUAAUAGAUUCAGUCCUAAAUCAUAUAAAAGAGCAUUAACCCUAAACCCAAAAACGAUAAAAAUUAAAAUUCUCAAGAGAAAUCGAAAAAUUGAAACCUUAUACAGAAUUUCUUAACAGAAAUUAUCACUUACAAGCUUGAUGAUUCGCAGCAGAAGAGAAACUAUUAGAAGCACACCAAGCAAAACCUUCCCCCCCAAAAAAAUAUUGAAAAAUUGAACCUUAAAAUCUUAAUUCUCUAUGGAGGAGAAAUAUGUUUCGUUGAGUAAGAGAGAGGUUAAAAGGUUUAGUUAGGGUUUUUCUUCAUAUUCAUCUCAAGAAGACAAGAACCAGUAAAAGAGAUGAACAACGAUUUUCUGAAUUGGGUAAUAGGGAUUACCGUGUUAACACUUAAUGGUCUUCUCCGUGCGAACCACGU